CUAUUACAGUGAUGGCUUCUCUUCAGAUAUCCUCACCACCAAUGGAAAUUCUGUAUUCGAUAUUAGCCUUCCCUUAGAGGAUCUGCUUCCAUACGACGACAUUCCUGACGAUGUGAAGUUUGACUUUACUGUUGGUCCAAAAAAGGUUCCCGCAGAGAUACCAGGUUGUGAGGACUAUGUGAUGACAGACAAUAAUGACCAAACAGG